GUGCAUCGAACUGCUGACGYUCCGUCCUCUUCAAUCCUUCCCCAAGUGAACAUUUCACUUGUGGGCUUGUGAGGUAUCCUGUGUUGCUUUCCAUUGGAAUGGAAAUCGUUGGCUUUGUUAUUGGCAUCUGCCAUGUGCUCAUAUGGGUGUGAGGUGGACGUGUGGCAAGCCUUGUGUUCCCAGCAUGCCAAGUGCUUCGGCAUUUGCUUGUUGUGGCCCAUGGGGUCUUUGCUUGUUCUCUUGGAUGCGGAAUGCUGUGUGUGGGAGYGAGGUCUUGACCUUGACUCRUCCAAGCACAAUCUUUGAACUCUAAUGACUGCUAUGCUUGUCUUGAUCUUCCCGACCGAGGCCUCAUAAUGGGGUUUAUCGGAUGAGGGUUGAACAAGUGGGUGUUAGUGUCAAAGAGUUCUAAAUCGAAUGACUGCCACGUCUGUAUUGAUCUUCCCGACCGAGGCCUCAUAGCGGGGCUUACCGGAUGAGGGUUGAACAUGCGGGCAUUGGUGUCAAAGAGGAUAGC
rnacentral:misc_RNA from 1 species